rnacentral:rRNA from 1 species
CAGUCGCCGCGGUAAUACGAAGGGGGCUAGCGUUGUUCGGAAUCACUGGGCGUAAAGCGCACGUAGGCGGAUACUUAAGUCAGGGGUGAAAUCCCGGGGCUCAACCUCGGAACUGCCUUUGAUACUGGGUAUCUUGAGUCCGGGAGAGGUUGGUGGAACUCCGAGUGUAGAGGUGAAAUUCGUAGAUAUUCGGAAGAACACCAGUGGCGAAGGCGGCCAACUGGCCCGGUACUGACGCUGAGGUGCGAAAGCGUGGGGAGCAAACAGGAUUAGAUACCCCCGUAGUCCCUGUCUCUUAUAC